ACGAACGCUGGCGGCGUGCUUAACACAUGCAAGUCGAACGGAGAGACAUGGAAGCUUGCUUCUAUGAAUCUUAGUGGCGAACGGGUGAGUAACGCGUAAUCAACCUGCCUUUCAGAGGGGGAUAACAACGGGAAACCGUUGCUAAUACCGCGUACGAUAUGCUUUCGGCAUCGAGAGUAUAUGAAAGGUGGCCUCUAUAUAUAAGCUAUCGCUGAAGGA
rnacentral:rRNA from 1 species